rnacentral:lncRNA from 1 species
UGAACACGGCAGAAGUUAGAGAUCCUCAGAGAGAACUUGGCAUUUUCGAAUGCCGGUAGAGACAAGUCUAGGGCUUUCGAAGGAUUCUUCUUUCUAUCCAAACAGUCAAAAGUAAGCCAGUUAUGGAGGGAGGAAUACACAUUAGAGAGCUCAGUUAUGGAUGGAGGAAUACACAACUUUUUCUCAUGGUCAUUUUCCUCGUGGGCAUUCUCUUCAUGUUUCUUCUUAUUCCGACUAAAAUACAAGCACAAAUUAUUCUUCGCCUUCGUAUAGGUUUUGUUUGAAGAAGAUUAAAAAAGUCCUUUAAUUUAUCUCGACACUUCCAAAACCAGAAUAUAAUACCCGUGCUACAUAA